rnacentral:lncRNA from 1 species
GGCAUACUUUUUUUUUUUUUUUCAUUUUUGAGACAAGGUCUCACUCCGUUGCCCUGAAUGGACAGUGUAGAUGAGUGCAGCCUUGCAUUCAGAGAGAUCUGCCCACCUCUAUCUCCUGGGUGCUGGGAUUAAAAGUCUGUGCCAACCUCUCAGCUUUUUCCAGAUUUCCACUGUUUGUAUAAUGGUUGGCCCAUUUGACUACUGAUAGUCACUUGAGAUGCUCCCACCCACCACUGCUGUGAAUAACGGUGUGAGCCCUGGCGUCCAGACACCAUGUGAGUCCUUGCUAUCAACACUUCUGUGUGUACCUAGACCACAUGGUGACUGUGUGCACUGCAUAAACUUUUAAGAUCCUGCAGUGUGCAUGGAGGAAAAGAUAAAGGAUGGAACCUGGCACACUUGGAUCCUUUUGAGAGACAGGCUCCUACAGGGCAGCCACCAAUCAAAGUGUCCUCUCUCUGCUCGCCAACAGGGUCCCACAUCUACCUUCGUCCGGCACAUAGCUGGUUCUCAAUAAGUAUCAGUAAGGAAUACAUGCUGCCCACUGCUUAUCCUCUAGUAAAAAACAACUAAAAGUGUCUAAGAAAAGAAAAAGACGGCCCUUGUGUGUGUGUGCAUGUGCUUUCCUGGGUGUGUGCAGGGGUACUUAUAGGGGUGUGUGUGUGUGUGUGUGUUUUCUUUGUUUUAUUUUGGUUUGCUUGGAUUUGUUUUGCUUUUGUUUUUUUUUUUUUUUUACUGGCCUGUUUGUUUUCUAAAAAGAGAGAAAGAAGGCAAGGAGUUAGAUGGUUGGGGAGGGAGGGAGUGUCUGGGAGAUGAGGAAGGGGAAAGAGUUCAGAAUAUACUGCAUGAAAAAAAGUUAUUUUCAAUUUAAAAAGAAAAAAAUCUCCU